AAUGGGGGAAACCCUGAUGCAGCGACGCCGCGUGAACGAUGAAGCCCUUCGGGGUGUAAAGUUCUUUCGACGGGGACGAUAAUGACGGUACCCGGAGAAGAAGCUGCGGCUAACUACGUGCCAGCAGCCGCGGUAAUACGUAGGCAGCAAGCGUUGUUCGGAAUUACUGGGCGUAAAGAGUGCGUAGGCGGUUGGCUAAGUUUGGUGUGAAAUCUCCCGGCUCAACUGGGAGGGUGCGCCGAAAACUGGCCGGCUAGAGUGUGGGAGAGGUAAGUGGAAUUCCUGGUGUAGCGGUGAAAUGCGUAGAUAUCAGGAGGAACACCUGCGGUGUAGACGGCUUACUGGACCAUGACUGACGCUGAGGCACGAAAGCGUGGGGAGCAAA
rnacentral:rRNA from 1 species